AAGCUAACCAAGAGCGGGAGAGGAUGCAGCAAGACCUUCGGCAGACACAGGAAGCCUCCCAGCAGAAUCAGAUGCAGCUGGCCCUGGCUUUUCAGUUCAUGCAGACUCUGGGCUCGCAAAUGGGUCUUUCACCACCGCAAUUCCCUCAGACUAAUAUCCCUGCGCGUGCAGCUACCCCUACUCCUCCUCAAUCGGCAGCAUCAAAUGAUGGGCCAACAGAAAUGUCCCCUUCGCCGAUACCUCAGAAUGUGUGGCCGCCUCCUCAUUGGGUGACUUACAUGCAGCAGUUCCAGCA